rnacentral:rRNA from 1 species
UACGGAGGAGGCAAGCGUUAUCCGGAAUUAUUGGGCGUAAAGGGUACGUAGGCGGCUGGUCAAGUCUGGGGUCAAAGGCCACAGCUCAACUGUGGGAAGGCCCUGGAAACUGACCGGCUAGAGUGAGGUAGGGGUUGCGGGAAUUCCCGGUGUAGCGGUGAAAUGCGUAGAGAUCGGGAAGAACACCUGAGGCGGAAGCGCGCAACUGGGCCUCAACUGACGCUGAGGUACGAAAGCUAGUGGAGCGAAGGGG